AGCCAUUUGGAACCAAUAUCCAAUAUGGCCCCGACUUAAUGGAACUAUCAUGGAAUACUUCUUCUGUUCGCCAUCCUGGAGGAAUUCCUCCAAAUCUUACCCAAAAAGCAUUGCUGGAAAAGUCAUAGCAGUGUUCCGGAAUGUCAGUUACUUGUUGCGAGGGGAGUUACCUACAAGCUUACGGGAAAAGGCUGGAGUACAAUGUGGAUCCGGAAGAGUAUAGAUGAGAGAUUGAAGGGAGCUCGUGAAUAGAAACCCAGUUGCCGCAAGUGUGGGGGUAUUGAAAAGAGUAAAGGUUAGCACCAUAAGAAGUAUCCUACAGCCAUACGUAGUUCAUCCGCCCAAACAGAGUGAGGAAAGCAUCGCAACGCCAGAGAACCAGAGAAAGAGCACCGGUUGCGACCAUAAAGUUCCCCAACUACAUAAAUCAAACAACCAGCCAAGCAUCAAGUGCAAAACAGCAGAAAUCACACCUUGUCAGAGCCCCAAACAACAAGAUUUCCAGACGAAAGCCUUGAGCGGCCCCCAACAUCAAGGUCACCAGAUGAAGUUUAUAUUGAAGAAAAAGCACUGAAGACUGAUCUAUGGGACAGAAUCAUCGCAAAUCGGCACCAGAUCGAGGCAGGAUGGUGGAUAGAUGAUUUUUUUUUUUUUUUUUUUUUUUUUUUGGGUUUUGUCAAAACCUGGUAAGCGAAAGAAACAAAAAAGGAGGAAAACAGCGAAGAAGGAUCAAAGGUGAGUAGAGAAGGAUUGGAGUAACAGACAAAACCUUAGACGAUUAGGGUUUGUGGAAGAAGGAAAGCUACCCAAAUGGUAGAGAAGAACUCGCAGA